UGGGGAAUUUUGGACAAUGGGGGAAACCCGUGAUCCAGCCAUCCCGCGUGUGCGAUGAAGGCCUUCGGGUUGUAAAGCACUUUUGGCAGGAAAGAAACGUCGCGGGUUAAUACCCCGCGAAACUGACGGUACCUGCAGAAUAAGCACCGGCUAACUACGUGCCAGCAGCCGCGGUAAUACGUAGGGUGCAAGCGUUAAUCGGAAUUACUGGGCGUAAAGCGUGCGCAGGCGGUUCGGAAAGAAAGAUGUGAAAUCCCAGAGCUUAACUUUGGAACUGCAUUUUUAACUACCGGGCUAGAGUGUGUCAGAGGGAGGUGGAAUUCCGCGUGUAGCAGUGAAAUGCGUAGAUAUGCGGAGGAACACCGAUGGCGAAGGCAGCCUCCUGGGAUAACACUGACGCUCAUGCACGAAAGCGUGGGGAGCAAACAGGAUUAGAUACCCUGGUAGUCCACGCCCUAAACGAUGUCAACUAGCUGUUGGGGCCUUCGGGCCUUGGUAGCGCAGCUAACGCGUGAAGUUGACCGCCUGGGGAGUACGGUCGCAAGAUU
rnacentral:rRNA from 1 species